UGUAACUUAGCAUAUAUUCUGAGUAAACUCUCUCUGGAAGGAACUGGUGUGCUAGUCUUUCUUCCCUGCUGGUCAGGGAAUCGGCAGGGUACAAUUGGUGGCCCGUACGGGGAGCGCAGAGUUUUUCCGCGUCCCUGGGAGUUCCAGAACCAGUCGAGAGUCAGAGCAAGCGCUUGGACUGAAACCAAAGAACAUCCAGAGAGUGAAGACCAGUGUGACUGUGGAGAGAGCACCAUGAGACAGUGGCCACUGGCAGAGGGGUCACAGUGAUGCCGACAGUAUUAAGAGCCAUGACAGUAAACCGAGGUUCAGAGGAGAUUCAGGUGGGCUGCAGCUACAGUUCUCACUGUCAUGGAUUAGACAAAGCUUAGAGAGACACAGAAAUGAACUGACUGAUCCUCUGUGUGGCUCGAGAAGUUUCCAUCCUUUCUUGGUAGUUUUGCUUCCCUUUUGUAUUUCCUAUGGAAAACAGUUCUUGAACAACUCAGGAUGAUUAGACACAUAACACAAGCCCGUACCGUCUUGGUGUAGUACAUCUCCUUCAAUAUCAGCAGUCUUGGAGGCUGAGGCACGUGUCACUCAUCCUGAUGGCCAACGGCUCAGAGAAGUGCCGAGGUUGACAUGGACCUUGGAAUCUGGCAGCAUUGGCUUUAGACCCUGGUGGUGUUGGAACUUAGCAGUUCCCCGUGGUUU